UGGGGUAUCGCCAAGCGGUAAGGCACCGGUUUUUGAUACCGGCAUUCCCUGGUUCGAAUCCAGGUACCCCAGCCU
rnacentral:tRNA from 3 species